AACGCGAAGAACCUUACCUGGUCUAACCAUAGUGAGAACUUUCCAGAGAUGGAUUGGUGCCUUCGGGAGCUUACAUACAGGUCUGCAUGGCUGUCGUCAGCUCGUGUCGUGAGAUGUUGGGUUAAGUCCCGCAACGAGCGCAACCCUUUUCCUUAUUUGCCAGCGGGUUAAGCCGGGAACUUUAAGGAUACUUCCAGUGACAAACUGGAGGAAGGCGGGGACGACGUCAAGUCAUCAUGGCCCUUACGACCAGGGCUACACACGUGCUACAAUGGUCGGUACAAAGGGUUGCUACCUAACGAUAGGAUGCUAAUCUCAAAAAGCCGAUCUUAGUCCGGAUUGGAGUCUGCAACUCGACUCCAUGAAGUCGGAAUCGCUA
rnacentral:rRNA from 1 species